GACGAACGCUGGCGGCGUGCCUAAUACAUGCCAGUCGAACGAGAGCGACCGGUGCUUGCACUGGUCAAUCUAGUGGCGAACGGGUGAGUAACACGUGGGUAACCUGCCCAUCAGAGGGGGAUAACAUCCGGAAACGGAUGCUAAAACCGCAUAGGUCUUCGAGCCGCAUGGCUUGAAGAGGAAAAGAGGCGCAAGCUUCUGCUGAUGGAUGGACCCGCGGUGCAUUAGCUGGUUGGUGAGGUAACGGCUCACCAAGGCCGUGAUGCAUAGCCGACCUGAGAGGGUGAUCGGCCACAUUGGGACUGAGACACGGCCCAAACUCCUACGGGAGGCAGCAGUAGGGAAUCUUCCGCAAUGGACGCAAGUCUGACGGAGCAACGCCGCGUGAGUGAAGAAGGUUUUCGGAUCGUAAAACUCUGUUGUUAGAGAAGAACAAGUGCUAGAGUAACUGUUAGCGCCUUGACGGUAGCUAACCAGAAAGCCACGGCUAACUACGUG
rnacentral:rRNA from 1 species